rnacentral:rRNA from 1 species
UAGAGUAAUGCGUGACCAACCUGCCCCAUGCUCCAGAAUAGCUCUUGGAAACGGGUGGUAAUGCUGGAUGCUCCAACUUGACGCAUGUCUUGUUGGGAAAGUGUUUAGUGGCAUGGGAUGGGGUCGCGUCCUAUCAGCUUGUAGGCGGGGUAAUGGCCCACCUAGGCUUCGACGGGUAGCCGGCCUGAGAGGGCGGACGGCCACAUUGGGACUGAGAUACGGCCCAGACUCCUACGGGAGGCAGCAGG